ACUCCCACGUGUUGGGGACACAAGAUGACGAGCGAGACACAGGCUUGCCCACCUAAGUGGAUGGCAGCCAGGCCAGCUUCCCUGGGGAUGGUCCAGAGGGGCUUAACCCUGAAGGGCAGUGACGUGGCCCAAUAUGGUCUCGAGGAGAGCACGGUGGGAAGCCCAAUCUCCCUGGAGGACAACGGGACCAUCUUUCACACAGACACGAAGUGACACAUACACAAGGCUACCCAACACAGCUUUGCUUGUAGCAGCAAAUGAUUCCAGAGGCCCAUCCCUGGGGCCUGGGCUAACAACCGCGGCAGGGCUGCGCUGUGGGCCAUCGCGCAGCUGCUGGGAAGGACGGGGCCACUCCGGAGCAGAGGGAAUCUCGGUGAUGUGCUGAGGAAGCCGGGGGUUCAGAUGCCCCUGUGCCGAUUCCCAGGCAGGAAACUGGCUACAGGGGGGUGCCUCUGGGAUGGGGAUUCAUGUUUCUGCUAGAAAAUUCUGAAUUUCAUAACGUGCAAAAAUUCUUUAGUCAGUUCAGAGAUAAACCCCAUGCAUCUAUGAUUAGCAAAUUUUUGACAAGGGUCCCAAGACCAUUUAACGGGGGAAGUAACAGUCUCUUCAACAGACAGUGGUGGGACAACUGGAUAACCACACGCAAAGGAUGUUGGCCACCUACCUCACACCGUUUACAAAAAUGAACUCCAGAUGGAUGACAGACCUAAACCUAAGAGCUAUGAACUCUUCUGAAACUAUGAACUCUUAAGAAAACACAAGGGAAAAGCUUCAUGACAUUGGACUGGUUUCCUGGAUGACACCAAAA